rnacentral:rRNA from 1 species
GACAGAGGUGGCAAGCGUUGCUCGGAUUCACUGGGCUUAAAGGGCGCGUAGGUGGUCUUGUAAGUCAAAGGUGGAAUUCCACAGCUUAACUGUGGAACUGCCUUUGAUACUGCAAGGCUUGAGUCAGGUAGAGGAGGGGGGAAUUCCCGGUGUAGCGGUGAAAUGCGUAGAUAUCGGGAGGAAUACCGGUGGCGAAGGCGACCCACUGGACGGUAACUGACGCUGAGGCGCGAAAGCGUGGGGAGCAAACAGG